UUUUAAUUUGAUAUUAAUCUACAAAAUAGUUUAGCAGAUGUGCAGUCUUUCAAAGGUUUGUAACUAGUGAGUGCUGCAACAGUAAAGCUAGCUAAUGCUAAUAUUUUAUGCUAACUUAAAUGGCUCAUAGAACAACCCGCAGUGUUUAUUUUAAUUAAUCAACGUUUCUGCAUAAGAAAUAAAGUGUGUGUUUGCGCUGUUUUGUGUAUAUAGAGUUGUGGUAAAAAGAUACAGCUUUGUUCAAAUGCUAGUUUUGAACAAAGCUGUAUCCUUGCUUGAAGCUAGCUGCUACGUCGGAGACGUUUGUGUGCGAACACUGACGUGGCGUAAGAACGAGCAGUAAAAUUAAACUUACGAUGUAAUGAAACUAUAUUUGAUUUUUAAUGAAACUAUAUUUGAUUUUUAUUGUGACGACUGUUUUUUAAAACAUAACCCUUGGCAAAAGCGUCUGGUCACUGCAGAUAUUCCCGUCAUACGUUACUUAUGAACUUUUGUAUUUACACUUAAAAAAAAUAGCUAAAACGAUGGAUCUCUGAAAAUUUGAGUCUUAAAAUAUAAUUUGGUAUGUAGGAUUCCUACAUAUUAUAAUGCAAAGUAGAUACAAAUACAAGAUUUUGUUGGCUAACCCUGAAUUUUCUGUCCUUUUACACUGAAUGCUACUCUUUUGUUAAUCCUGAUUUUGCCUUUACAACAAAAUAAAGCAGCAAAUGUGUGAA